GAUGAACGCUAGCGGCAGGCCUAAUACAUGCAAGUCGAACGAUACCAGGGAGCUUGCUCUCUGGGAAAGUGGCGCACGGGUGCGUAACGCGUAUGCAAUCUACCUUAACCUGGGGGAUAGCCCGGAGAAAUCCGGAUUAAUACCGCAUAACAUUAUUGGAUGGCAUCAUUUAAUAAUCAAACAUUUAUGGGAUUGAGAUGAGCAUGCGUGACANAGUUUAGUUGGUGAGGUAACGGCUCACCAAGACUACGAUGUCUA
rnacentral:rRNA from 1 species